UACGUAGGGUGCGAGCGUUAAUCGGAAUUACUGGGCGUAAAGAGUGCGUAGGCGGUUCUUGUGUCCGCUGUGAAAGCCCCGGGCUUAACCUGGGAAUGGCAGUGGAAACUAGAGAACUUGAAUCUGGCAGAGGGGGGUGGAAUGCCACGUGCAGCAGUGAAAUGCGUAGAUAUGUGGCGGAACACCGAUGGCGAAGGCAGCCCCCUGGGCUGAGAUUGACGCUCAGGCACGAAAGCGUGGGGAGCAAACAGG
rnacentral:rRNA from 1 species